AGAUGCGUGGUGAUGCCCUCCAGCCGCAGCGCGUGUUGUACCGCCAGGCGCGCCAAGUUCACGCCAGCCUCCUGCGUGGGGAGUGCGAGUAGUAAAGGGUCACAAACCUACAUCAAUGCCACUGACACGAGACGUGAGCUGAGGGAGCCAUCGCUUCGCUGUGUUGCUGGUCGAACUCGCUCUGCUCGAGUAACGCUUCAGUCCCUCUAAGUUUGCCAGCGCCGCCGCAGUUGUGCCUCCCGUGUUCAGAGAAGUAGCUAGACCCGUACCUAUGUUUGUUGAUCUGCUACCACCUCCCCACGCUGCCGCAACACUAUCCCCAGUCUCCUCAACUCCUUCUUGUGCAAGGUAAUAUGUCUGCACCCAUUGAGCCAACCCCGUAAAGAUGUGUAUCCCUGCCCCGUCAUGUUUUCCGCCUUUCUCGCCGUCUCAGCUGUCCUGCAGCUCCCCGACUCGCCACACAGGUUUAAACUCUUCAAAGAUGUGAAAUUGGAGAAUGUUCCUGGUGGUAGCUCUCUGAUGAUAUUGUGAGCAAUGGACAGCUGGUGGAGCCCAAUGAGUGUCUGGAGACUGUCUGCUGAGAUCACUCCAACCCGAUUGUAGUCCAGCGAUAACUCUGUCAGGGUUCCCACCUGGUGACAAUGAAACAAAUAAGCACAUCACUGAGACCUUCUUCAUCAAGCUCGGGUACCCAAAGGGUUUCCUGGUGGAACUGAUGGACAUGGCACAGAAGAUUUUAGAGGACAAAGAGAAAGAGAAGAAAUAUUUAAUCUUCCGGAGCACUAAGCUAACAUAGAGCCACCACAAGUGACCCUCCCUCAAAUCGGUUAGAGAGUAGUGAUGCAUGUGAAAUUAUCCUUCCAUGUGAAAGUAUCCUCUGGUCUCCACAGAGUGUUACCUUAAAUCAAACUUGCAGACAGAGGGGUCUAUAGAGCUAAUAUCCCAGCCAGAGUAAGCAUGAUCUUAAAUUGUCAUCAUGAGUGUAUAUAACACAUCAGUAGUCUUGUUAUGUAUUAUUUAUUGAAUAUUUGAAACUUCUAAAUAGCUCUGACAGGGACAGUUCUAUGUGAUACAGACAUACUAUCAUGCAUUUUCACUAAAUACAGCGUGUUUCACAUUUCUUUUGGUAGAGUAGAGAAAGGAAUGAUUUAUGCUGCUCCAGGCAAAUUAUCUGUCAGCUUUUCACGUUUGAUGAUAGACAAUGCUCAUGUCGCCAAAAAUCUUACUUAAACGUAAUGUUUCUUAAUUAUUCAAUGACACAUGGUGAUUUUGGUGACACAUUUCACUAGAAAUAUGAGGUGCUGCCAAUCUGAACAAAGCGGACUAAAAAUUCUUGAGUCACAAUGUCCCUUGCACUUACAUAUUUUAUAGAAAUUGGGUUGCAAAAAAAAAAAAAAAAAAAAAAAAAAAAAUAAUAAUAAUAAUAAUAAUAAUAA